GCCCCCCCGGAACCCCCUCCCCUCCCCUUAGCGAGGAAGGAUUUGGGUCGCAGACCUGGGUGGUCCCAGGACUCCAGGGCCUGCAGUGGUGGGGUAGGGUGGGGUGGGGGCACUGCAGAGCUUCCCAAGGAAGUCAGGCGACCUCGCCUCCGGAUAUUCAGAAGUGCUAGUCCACUUCUGGCAGCCUGAACUCUUCCUCCUUUUUUUGAAAUCCGAGAAUACUCUUCCUUCCAGGGAGAGAAACUGACCUGUAAUCCCAGCUACUCAGGAGGCUGAAGCAGGAGAAUCGCUUGAACCUGGGAGUCAGAGGCUGCAGUGAAGCGAGAUCGCAACAUUGCAUUCCAGCCUGAAGUGCUGCUGUAGGUACUAUGGCUCCUGAAGUUGCUUUCCCUGCAGUAACUGGAGUCCUCCUCGUCGUCUUCCAGCUCCUCCGGAUGACAUGAUUGUAUAUUUGGAAAACCCAUCGUCUCAGCCCAAAAUCUCCUUAAGCUGAUAAGCAACUUCAGCAAAGUCUCAGGAUACAAAAGCAAUGUGCAGAAAUCUCAAGCAUUCUAUACACCAAAAAUAGAGAUCCAAAUCAUGAGUGAACUCCCAUUCACAAUUGCUACAAAGAGAAUAAAAUACCUAGGAAUCCAACUUACAAGGGAUGUGAAGGACCUCUUCAAGGAGAACUACAAACCACUGCUCAAGGAAAUAAAAGAGGACAUAAACAAAUGGAAACAUUCCAUGCUCAUGAAUAGGAAGAAUCAAUAUCAUGAAAAUGGCCAUACUGCCCAAAGUAAUUUACAGAUUCAAUGCUAUCCCCAUCAAGCUACCAUUGAUUUGCUUCACAGAAUUAGAAAAAACUACUUUAAAUUUCUUAUGGAACCAAAAAAGAGCCCGUAUAGCCAAGACAAUCCUGAGCAAAAAGAACAAAGCUGGAGGCAUCACGCUACCUGACUUCAAACUAUACUACAAGAAGGUUGUUGCUGCUGAGUCUUUGGGGCUGUGCUGUCUUUGUGAGCUGUAACACUCACUGUGAAGGUUUGCGGCUUCACUCCUGAAGGCAGUGAGACCACUAACCCACCAGGAGGAACAAACAACUCCAGACGCGCACCGUUUUUAUGAACUGUAACACUCAUCAUGAAGGUCUGCAGCUUCGUUCCUGAGGCCAGCAAGACCACAAACCCACCGGAAGGAAGAAACUCCAGACACGUCUGAACAUCUAAAGGAACAAACUCCAGACGCACCAUCUUUAAGAACUGUUAACACUCACCGCC
rnacentral:lncRNA from 1 species